rnacentral:misc_RNA from 1 species
AAAGUCGUAACAAGGUUUCCGUAGGUGAACCUGCGGAAGGAUCAUUAGUCAAAAGGGGCUCCCCUCAAAUCUUUCUUUUUUUAUUUUAUUUUAUUAAAAAAAGAGAGAGAAGGGAGCCUGACCAAAAAAAAUAAAUAAACCCCCUUUCUGUGUGCAUCUUAUUGACCCUUUCAAAAUCUAUUCUUCAAACAUUUCAAACAAUAAAAACAUUAAAAAAUAAAAAUAAAAAACAACUUUCAACAACGGAUCUCUUGGCUCUC